rnacentral:rRNA from 1 species
GACGAGCGCUGGCGGCGUGCUUAACACAUGCAAGUCGAACGGUGAAGCGCCUUCCUUUUUGGUGGGUGUGGAUGAGUGGCGAACGGGUGAGUAACACGUGAGUAACCUGCCCCCUUCUUCUGGAUAACCGCAUGAAAGUGUGGCUAAUACGGGAUAUUCUGGGUCUGUCGCAUGAUGGGUCUGGGAAAGAUAUUGUUUCGGUGGGGGAUGGGCUCGCGGCCUAUCAGCUUGUUGGUGGGGUGAUGGCCUACCAAGGCGGUGGCGGGUAGCCGGCCUGAGAGGGCGGACGGUCACACUGGGACUGAGACACGGCCCAGACUCCUACGGGGGGCAGCAGUGGGGAAUAUUGCACAGUGGGCGCAAGCCUGAUGCAGCGACGCCGCGUGAGGGAUGGAGGCCUUCGGGUUGUGAACCUCUUUCGCCAGUGAAGCAGGCCUGCCUCGUUUGUGGGUGGGUUGACGGUAGCUGGAUAAGAAGCGCCGGCUAACUACGUG